AGACCCGAAACCCGGUGAUCUAGCCAUGGGCAGGUUGAAGGUUGGGUAACACUAACUGGAGGACCGAACCGACUAAUGUUGAAAAAUUAGCGGAUGACCUGUGGCUGGGGGUGAAAGGCCAAUCAAACCGGGAGAUAGCUGGUUCUCCCCGAAAGCUAUUUAGGUAGCGCCUCGUGAAUUCAUCUCCGGGGGUAGAGCACUGUUUCGGCUAGGGGGCCAUCCCGGCUUACCAACCCGAUGCAAACUGCGAAUACCGGAGAAUGUUAUCACGGGAGACACACGGCGGGUGCUAACGUCCGUCGUGAAGAGGGAAACAACCCAGACCGCCAGCUAAGGUCCCAAAGUCAUGGUUAAGUGGGAAACGAUGUGGGAAGGCCCAGACAGCCAGGAUGUUGGCUUAGAAGCAGCCAUCAUUUAAAGAAAGCGUAAUAGCUCACUGGUCGAGUCGGCCUGCGCGGAAGAUGUAACGGGGCUAAACCAUGCACCGAAGCUGCGGCAGCGACGCUGAUGCGUUGUUGGGUAGGGGAGCGUUCUGUAAGCCUGCGAAGGUGGCCUGUGAGGGUUGCUGGAGGUAUCAGAAGUGCGAAUGCUGACAUAAGUAACGAUAAAGCGGGUGAAAAGCCCGCUCGCCGGAAGACCAAGGGUUCCUGUCCAACGUUAAUCGGGGCAGGGUGAGUCGACCCCUAAGGCGAGGCCGAAAGGCGUAGUCGAUGGGAAACGGGUUAAUAUUCCCGUACUUGGUGUUACUGCGAAGGGGGGACGGAGAAGGCUAUGUUGGCCGGGCGACGGUUGUCCCGGUUUAAGCGUGUAGGUGUGUGUUCCAGGUAAAUCCGGUUCACUUUAACACUGAGGCGUGAUGACGAGGCACUACGGUGCUGAAGC
rnacentral:rRNA from 1 species